rnacentral:lncRNA from 1 species
GGGAGCCAGGACAAGGAAGAACAGGAAUUAGGAGUUCCCCUUUCCACUCUUCAAACUGGUACUAGAGAGCUUCUGGAAUUCACACACUCUCGCACUCACACUUCACCUCAGCCCUUAGUUCUUAGGUUUUAGUCAGCGCUGCAUUCAGGCCAGAGCUUGCUAGAGGGGGGAUAAUGAUAAUUCUGGUCAUCUUCAGUUUGCCUGCUACUUUUUACUUUUCCAGAGUCCUUGUAUGCCACAUGUAUUAUGUCCAGGUUUUGUAUUGAAUUCAGUGGGAAAGACACAGUAGAUUGAGCUUAUUAUAACCAACUUACCUAGAAUUGGAA